AGUGAACGCUGGCGGUAGGCCUAACACAUGCAAGUCGAACGGCAGCACAGGAGAGCUUGCUCUCUGGGUGGCGAGUGGCGGACGGGUGAGGAAUACAUCGGAAUCUACUCUGUCGUGGGGGAUAACGUAAGGAAACUUACGCUAAUACCGCAUACGACCUACGGGUGAAAGCAGGGGACCUUCGGGCCUUGCGCGAUUGAAUGAGCCGAUGUCGGAUUAGCUAGUUGGCGGGGUAAAGGCCCACCAAGGCGACGAUCCGUAGCUGGUCUGAGAGGAUGAUCAGCCACACUGGAACUGGGACACGGUCCAGACUCCUACGGGCGGCAGCAGUGGGGAAUAUUGGACAAUGGGCGCAAGCCUGAUCCAGCCAUACCGCGUGGGUGAAGAAGGCCUUCGGGUUGUAAAGCCCUUUUGUUGGGAAAGAAAUCCAGCUGGCUAAUACCCGGUUGGGAUGACGGUACCCAAAGAAUAAGCACCGGCUAACUUCGUGCCAGCCGCCGCCGUAA
rnacentral:rRNA from 1 species